GAUCUCUGACAGCGCUGUUUAUCUGAGUGUUCAGCCGCACGCCGCAACCAAUGUAACUGUGUGCCAUGUUUUUUAGGGACAAAGUGAAGGCGACACUUUGUAAUGAAAUAAUUGACCUCAAAAUGUGUAUCAAAAUAUCCCGUUGAUUGUUGAGCAUUAAAGAAUAUUACUUCAAAAGCUCUGGGAGUUGAAAUUUGAAGGGAAUAUACGGGAAAAUGAAAGUGACCUAAUAAAGAUAGCAGGAGAAAAUGUCUUUCAUGUCCGAUAUUUCUGUUCGGCGUGGAGUCGCACUUGAGUUCUAACGCCCGAAAACAUCGACCUGCCUGGAAGUAGAAUCAGUGUAAGUCAUAAGGAGAAGAGUCCGCUGUGAGUCAUCAGAAGGUGUGAGCUUUCAUCAGCUUCCCCCCGUUUCUCCCGCGUGACCGAUUCUCCCUCUCGUUGUAGCUACAAACCACAGCGAGGGACACACACCCGUGGUUUAGACUGAGGAACAUGAAUACCUGUGAUAUCGUCGGCAUUAAUUGGGGUAAAUUUAAAUCAUAUUAUUGAUCUCAUUAUUUUUUCUUUUUUUAAUAAACAUGCAAUUUUAUGUUUUAGAUCAACCGCAGCUUUUGAAUGAUGACGAUGAUGCAAAGUGUCAUAACUCUGUAACAACUUUGUCUAUCUGGAGAGUGUUUUUUUUUUUUUUCUCGGUGGUAAAAAGGAAAAGUGUUGUUAAAUAAAUCAAUACAACACAAAAAAAGACCUAACAGCCCUACGAGCCCGGUCCUGAAGCGAUACCAGCGCCCAGCGGUCCUGCACACACCUCAAUCCUUAUUUCUAAGAGGUUUAUUUGGAUAUAAAUAGGAAAAGUGUAUUUCGCCGAUUCCCAUGUGUUCCCUUCAUGCCAUCUGCUUCAGGUUGGUGUUGUGUUUGUCUCUCCGUGAUCCUUUGAAUGGCUGGAUGUGCGUUUGAUCAUAGUGCCAAAUGUUUGUCUGUAAGACUGUUUGUUACAGGGCUUUGUUGUGCGUUAGCUGAUGCACAAAGAGGGGAAAUCUGUCAAAGAGAAAAGGAAAUGUUUCCUUUUCCACAUUCAUUCACAGCCACCCAAUAAAUAAUACAAAUGAAAUGCUGAUUUAUGUUUUGGUUUUCUGUUUAAUUUAGUGCGUUUUAGUGGAGAAAGAGUAAAUAUAGCUUCCAUGAAGAGUCAUUGUCCACUUUAUUGAAAUUCACAUAUUCAACACUGAACAAGCUCUUGGUUUAGAAUCCAAAUCACACCAACUUGGGGGUCUGAGAAAGUGUAGUUUAAUAUUUUAUUUAAAAAGCACUGUUCCGGUGAACAGAAAAUUGCACUCACUGUCAACUGUGAAUAUGGGAAAAAAUCUCUCUUUCUUUGACCUUAAUGGUGUUUUGCAUCCAAAAAAAACAUCCCAACUCAACAAAAAGUCCAGCAGGGUUUUUAUUCAUGUGUUUAUUAGGAGGAUUUAUUUCUGAAAAAUAUUCCAUUGUUGAAUACGGAGUAUUUGUUUUAAUUAGGUGGUAAGAAAUAAUGGUAAUUAGCUGUGACUAAAAGUAACUUCGCAGCCAGCACACGUGCUUCUUCAUUCUCUGGAUGAAUGACACUCAUAUCUGGGAUAAAUGAUCAAAGAAAAACUCAAUAAAGAGACUUUUCAUUGUUCAUCAACAGCAAACGAUGUCAGAAAAAGCUCGCCGUCUUAUUGAUGCUUUUCUAAUGAAAAAAAACUUUUUAAGGUUCUCCUAAAUCGGCGGGGACAUCUUUAAUCAGUCGGUUCGGGGUCUGGAAGGUUCCAUUAGCUCCCUUCCCCCAUUCGUGUCUCAACAUCAGCGCUGUGCUGUUACGUCGGCCCAGACGCUGCUAGUAAGGUGAGGUGGCGAGAAAAUAGGUUUCAUAUGUGACAGGUGUUAUCUGCCCUUCACUAAACACAUUUGCAGGGGGGGGGGAGUCGGUGCAUCGCGUGGAAGAUGAGCGACAAGCGAUGGUGCCAUGAACCCCGUGCUAGAUUGGAAAUGGAGAAUUUCUCUGCGAACGCAGUUUGGUUGGCUUCCUCCAGCCGACAGCCAGUUGAUAAAUAAACUGGAAUUCAUUUAGAAAAAAACGAGAAAAAGCAUAAGGAGUGUAAUGUGUGUGUGUAUGCAAAUGAAUGCUGCAAUUUUAAGACGUGGUAACUUCGUAUUACUGAAACUUCUUAUAAUUUAAACCGACCUCUGGCACUUAGCUCGUAUAAUCCUUGUCCAGAGGAGGGGAAUUAGGAGGAAUAACUUACAUAGCUUUAGAGUUUUAUUUUUACUUUUAUUGGGAUUCUUUUCACCAGGCUCAGACUUGCUAGUCAGCAGCAUGCAGUUUAACCAACAUGAACAUUUACGAUGUAAAAACCCGCCCGGCUGGUCCAGAUGACAGGCCUGUGUGUUGCAUCACGAUUUAAAAAAAAGAUCUAUUUAAAUAAAUGGAGCAAUACAACAGCAAUAUCAUUUAUCGGUUUCAUCUGGCAGCUCCAGCCUCUAUUGUUGGAUACAUUUUAUUCAAAUACCAGUUUGCUGUCUAUAAUUAAAGAGAGGAAAAAAAAAACUGGGUUUAGGCAGUUUCAUUACGUAGACACAUCUUUCUCUGCUCACAUUGUGGAGGUCUUAUCCUCCAAGUCUUAAGUUUGACUUUUGCAAAACUUAUGAGACAUUUAUGUGCAAACAUCCAAAUGACUGAGAAGAAUUAGUGUUUAACUUCACAGGGUUCCAAAGUCCUCAUAUGAUUAACUUAGACUCAUGCAGCAUGUGAGCACAUGCAGAUUUUCUUUUUAAGACCUUGAACCAAGAAUUAAAAAUAGACGGAUAUUAAACAGGAAGACAGCGUUCGAUUAAAUACCAGCCUCUCGUGCCGUGGGUGAUUCCACUGUCUCUGACUUUAACCCGGUGAACAUUUACAUCCCACACGAGCCUCGGCUUUAAUAUCUGACUGUUGUGACCUGUUGGAUCCAAACAUUUUAAGGUCAUUCGCUCCUUUCACUAAGUUGAGUCGCCUAUUCUCGAUCCCAGCCGUGGACAGUGUUGGCUAACUAAAUCUACUCUCCGACCACACGAAAAACAGCUGUCCACAUCUGUUCCUAGCCAGACGAUGUAGAGCCUAUAAACCACAAUGAUCCUAGCGGGCCUUGAUCCUAAAACCUGGACUAAACUUUUGUAACAUCAGCAUCAGACGUCUUCCCGUUUAUUUGUGUCCAUCAAACUGAAUCAAAGAGCAGUUUGACGAGACGGUCGCUGAGUUCUUCUAUCUUGGGAGGGUUCAGCCCUCUGCAAUCGUGCCUGUUGUCCAGACGGGGCUACGACCACGAGACGCCUCGGCGGGGAUGUGUGUGUGAGACGGACAGCGGCCAGAUUCCCCUCUGCGCGCCGGCGCCGCCGAGUGAGCCGCCACAGAAGCCCGUCUGAGCGUCGUCCCGCGCUGGGAGCACGGGGGCCUCUCGGCGUCUUCCUCCGCAGCUCUCGCGGACACAAACACCAGAGCGCCAGCGGGGGGGGGGGGCACUUUGCAUCGCUUUUUGCAAACAUGCGGAUGAGUCAGCUCGGCGCCUCCUCUGCGCUCGCUUUAAGGCGUGAGCUCCACAAAGGGAUGCGCGCGGCGUCUCAUGGCUCGACGGUGUGGCGCAUUGCUUUAUGCUAAUGCUUCAUUUACAAUACUGAAAUAUGCAUUUCUGCUUUAAGGAUUCAUGAGCUGCAGCCUAUUUUUAUCAUUACCGUUACGCCAUUUGACAAUAACAGCACUUGGGCCAAAGUGCGGCCACAUUGCAGAGGGGAAGAAGAUGCCCGAUGCUAUUCUCGUCCGUCCCAGCCGGUAGAAGCACGUCCCGGUUUAGCGGACACGCUGCCGGAGCCAUCCCGCCUCCUGGCAUCACGUUACGGACGCGCAUUAUCCGCGGCUAAUGCGUUCCCCUCUUUCGAUUAGCACGUAAUUGAUGAUAAUGCCACGUAUGCGGACGUACCGGAUGUCUGCGCCUGGCAAUGGUGAUUCGACCCUUUUACUCCGGUCUACAUUCAGCACGCAUCCAGUCCCCUCGUUAUGGAGCUUGCAGUGCUGUUGUGGAGCAGUUGCAUCAGUAUGCAUGCCCGACUUGCCCUCAAAGUCAACAGCUAGGUUGGGUCACUUUGAGUUCACGUGAAGGCAGGGAGAGCAUCAUAAUUCAUAUCCUCGGUGACACACAGAAAUUAGUAUUGAAGGAGAAGCGCACAGUGCAAAGCCUUGAGCAACCGAUGCAGUUAUUGUAGCGCCUCCAACAGCGAAACCAAGCAGAGGCUCCACUCAAAACACACAGAGAUAAAGAUUUCAUGGGCACCUCAGAGUGGAAAGAGUGGAAACAUCCAACAUCCUGCUUUCAUGAUUUAGCACACGAGCCUCAACACGACCAUCUGGGUGGAUAAAUUAAAGAUCUUCAAUCUGAGUCUAUUGCCGGCGACGGCGGCUUUGCAGUGUUUUAUUUAUUUUCUGGGAGGAAGCUAAAUAGACACAGAGAAAUCGAGUGCAGGUCACCUGCCGCGCGCCAGUGUUUUUUUACGUAUUUGUUUUUGUGGUUGAGAAAUAUUCGCCGGUAAAAGGCGUUCACGAAAGGUUUCGUGUACAGGGUGGAGCACUUGCUCCUUCACAAAUCGACGGAUUUAAAAUGUGCUGCGCUUUAGAGGCGCUGCUGAUGUUUGAUUCAGAAGUCAACAAAAUGUCUUUGAUUGGCACAUUUGGUCAUGCGCUGUUUAGGCGCUAAUUAGCAAUCAGGGUUCUCCUCCACCAUAAACUGGUACUGAUCUGUUUCCAGGAAUGAAAAAGCAAAACGUAAUUGAUCUUCUUUCAAAACUUGAAGGAAGCACAAAUUCCUUCCGUCUGCGGCGCUGAAUGCAGAAGCUUCGCCGCAGAUCCGGUGCAGGUUUUUUGUCAAACGCGCACCCGUCUCCGUGCGCUUUCAAAAGACUAAAAUUCGGAAUGACAACAAAAGUUGUUUGUCAGCCCGGUUGGAAAUAAAUGACACUUUGCAUAUUUACACCGUGAUGAUUUGUUCGCGGCCCGAAGAGGCCUGUGUUCGGAUGGAGCCAUUACCCUGGACCUGCUGCUGUGGUGCCUGAAUGCGUCGUGUAAUUACCCAGAAUGCCGCUGACGCCCCGCGACCGUUUCUUAUCUCAGAAAUCCCAAAGAGCAAACACAAAGCUUAACAGAGCUUAACCCAAAGUGACAACAUUUGAAUCUAAUAAUCUCAACGACUAAUGUGUUUGUUUGAAACACUGGCAGACCGUUUGAUUUAGUCGAGGCCUUGAGCCAAAUAAAGGCUACUUUGCUUCCUACAAAACCAGUUUUCAUACCUGCCGGGUCUCAGUCCAGCGUCGUGCAGCGAGCUGCUGAAGGUCAGCGUGACGGAUGCAAGUUGAACUGACCAUUAAUCAGGCGUUAUUUUAAGUACAGAACUAAUAUCAAGUGCAUUUCUUCAAAGACCAAAUUGUGAUUUGUAUUCCCGAGAUAGUCUUGACCGUUACAGAAGUGAGAUGCAGAGGAGCCUCAUGACGUUUGGGUCGUUCACAACCAGGAGUGGAUAAACUGUUUUAUUGUCUGCCUUUGAAGGCUUUGAAGGUUUGGAGAAGCGGCUCGAUGUUCAGCGGCCACGUUCUUUUUAACCAUUUCCAUCCAACCGCUGGAUGGAAAUGGUUAAAAAAAUAAACAGAUCGAUUUAAGGAAAAUCAUGACUCUUUACUCAACAAAAUCAGAUAGUUUUUAUUCGUUUUGUUUCAAUUCACAACAUCAACCUUUUGUAUAAAACUCGGGAAACGGAAAUCGGGGGGAAAAUCCGAUCCCAUCAAAACGUAAUUAAAAAUGCAGUUUAGUUGAACGUAAUCUGGAGGAGACAACAACAUGCAUUUAUAUCUAGCAGGAGACUGUGUUUCGUUUGCUAAUGACUGUCUUUACACGAGGGGAACAAAAACCAAUCAUUCACUGUUUACCUCCAUGGCUGAGCAAGGCCGAGAUCUAACCGACUAUCACCGUAUAUACACCGUGUAUCACUGUACAUCACCGUAUAUACACCGUGUAUCACUGUAUAUCACCGUAUAUACACCGUGUAUCACUGUACAUCACCGUAUAUACACCGUGUAUCACCGUACAUCACCGUAUAUACACCGUGUAUCACCGUACAUCACCGUAUAUACACCGUGUAUCACUGUACAUCACCGUAUAUACACCGUGUAUCACCGUAUAUACACCGUGUAUCACCGUGUAUCACCGUAUAUCACCGUAUAUACACCGUGUAUCACCGUAUAUACACCGUGUAUCACCGUGUAUCAUCGUAUAUACACCGUGUAUCACCGUGUAUCAUCGUAUAUACACCGUGUAUCACCGUGUAUCACCGUAUAUACACCGCGUAUCACCGUACAUACACUGUGUAUCACUGUAUAUCACCGUAUAUACACCGUGUAUCACUGUAUAUCACCAUAUAUAUACAGUAUAUCACCACAUAUACACCAAUGUAUCACCGCAUAUAUACAGUAUAUAACCGUAUAUACACCGAUGUAUCACCGUAUAUCACCGUAUAUGCACCGUGUAUCACUGUAUAUCACCGUAUAUACACUGUGUAUCACUGUAUAUCACCGUAUAUACACCGUGUAUCACUGUAUAUCACCAUAUAUAUACAGUAUAUCACCACAUAUACACCAAUGUAUCACCGCAUAUAUACAGUAUAUAACCGUAUAUACACCGAUGUAUCACCGUAUAUCACCGUAUAUGCACCGUGUAUCACUGUAUAUCACCGUAUAUACACCGUGUAUCACUGUAUAUCACCGUAUAUACACCGGGUAUCACUGUAUAUCACUGUAUAUAUAUAUACAGUAUAUCACCGUAUAUACACCGAUGUAUCACCGUAUAUCACCGUAUAUAUACAGUAUAUCACCGUCUAUCACCGUAUAUACACCGUAUAUGACCGUAUGUAGAGUAUAAAGCUGUGCUCGUGAGCCGGACUGCAGGUCGACCCAGAUUCAAUGAAUUCGAGGCAUUUUCAGACUUGACUUGAAUAUGAAUAACUCUAAAAGAUGUGUUGUUUUGUAACAUAACAAUGGUAACGGAUGGACUCAAUGGAGUCUUGAGUUGACACUUAUUGAUGGGGAACAUCGCUUCAAUGGUUAUUAAUAAAUAAAAGUCCAUCUGUGUUAUAAAAUGGGCCAGAUGAAAAAAAUAUAUAUAUAAUAUGCAAAUGUUGCAACAAAAAAUGAAAAUGAUUAAACAAAUUGUGUGUUUAUUGUUGUAUGAAUGGCAAAUUUAUCAUCCGGCCAAGGGACAUCAGUUCAAAAUGAGCCUUUAAACUGUUCACAGCUUGCACAGUCCAUGAAACAACAACAUCAACAACAGCUCAUGCUGUGAAUCUGAGUGUUACGGCUGCGUUUUUAAUAUGCAUUUGUACAUUUUUAUUCAUAAAUUCAUUAUUAGGCUAAUUAUAUAAUUUGUCCUUUUUAUUUCAUUGAAAUUAUAUGUAAUUGGGUUGUUUAUUUUUUUUGCACGUAACUGCAACAUUCGUAUUUUCAGUGAGAAAUAAAUCUAAUAAAAUGUGAAAACAUGACAUUUGAUAAAAUGUUGUUCUUGUCAAUAAAGCAACGUGAGACCAGCAGCUUCGUGUUUACUAAUGAUUCCCGUUCGGAUUUCGACGUUUUCUCUCCGUGUUAGAAGUGUUUGACAGACAGCUGCAGGACAGAGUCUUUCUUUAUUCCAGUAAAUCACUGACUCGAGUUUAACCUUCGCUGACGGAUGCGUUAAACAUGAAGGACAGCCUGCCGCGCGAGAGCGUCACGCACUCAAAGAUUUUUUUUUUCUUCUUUUUGCAUUGGAUUGUUUCAUUUGCAGCGUGGGAGUUCUUUCACUCGAGUCUUCUUCAUUGCUUUCAGCUUUCAGACUGAACUGAGUCGGCUCAGCCGGGAUGCCAGACCUGUGUAAUUACUGCCCGAGGCCAGUUUAUCCCACUUUCCCACUGUACCGUCACUUGAGUGGUUAGAGCCGCGGGGCGGCGGGGGGGGGGGGGGCUCACCGAUGUAACAGGUCAUUACUCACAAGGGUUUGGACCGGCAAUGCAGAGUCAAACCUCUUCAGAGUGGAACAAAAGCUCCUGCUUUGAUGAAGGAACAUGGAUUUCUUACCUGCGACGGGGGGCGAGCGCGUGGAUCAUCCCGCUGCAGGUCGCUCCCAGAAGCUUUAACUCGACUCAACUCGCAGGUGGAGGGAGAUUCUUUGUCCGGGGCCACAAAACCCAACAUGGCUGGCGAGAUCUAAAGAUUAUGCUACAUAGAUGAUACGGCUUGUUCGAGGUUGUUGAGCUGCCGUAAAAAAAAUAAAAAAAAGUCAGUUUUUUUUUUCCAUUAAGCUGAAAUCAAUUCCAAGCGUUUAUUUCCCACCACUGUUGUGCUGGUAAUUCAGGGGUUGCUGAAGGUGGCUUCUGACCAAAUCAAGAGUUAAUGAAAUGAGGAAAUCCAUCUGGAAAUGGAUAGAUUACCAUUGCUGGCAGAAAAAGCACUAGCAUCUGGCAAAGGCUCGCCGUAGCAGCAUGUCUCAGCCGGAGCGAUUUGGCAUUAAGUUAAAUCCCCACGAGUAACAACAAGUGACACAUUAUGUUGUCAGAACUUGGGGGGAAUUUGGAGGAAACUUGUUUGUGCGACGAGACACAGCGUGCAUCCAAACCGACGCCGUUUGAUUUUUUUUUUAAAGCACAUUUUGUUGUGGAUACGGGCGCUACAUGGAUUUAAUCGCAGCGCCUUUCACCGAUCAAUACAGCAAUCAGCAGCAUUUGCACAGAAAAGAAAAGGUUUUGUCUUUGAGAUGGGAAAUCGUCACACAUGCAGCAAGACGCAUGGAACUACACAUGUUCAGACACAGGAUCGCUGUCUUUAAAUCCACAGCGGAUUCAUCUGUGAAUGGAUGUCGCUCCGUGAGACCAUUUACUUUGCUUUUCUAAGAAACGGUGGUGUCGAUUAAUUUCAUUUUUCUGUGUAAUAUACCUGUGGUUUGCUUCCUUGAGGCAAACACGCGGGUGAUUUGAUUUCAAACGCACAUCAUUUGAAAAAAACAUUCAGUGCAAAUUCUAAAAUCCAGUGUGCACGCAGAGAGGCCCGUGCGAUCGCACAGUGCCACACAUAACAAGCAUCUAAUGAAAAAGGACAAAGGGGGCAUUCAAUAACCACAUCUCAUUACGAGCAUUCGCUGCUAAAAUAUUUCCAUUGUCUCGAUCCAUAAAUUAAUUGUAUCGGCCGUCACAUUUGAUCAAGACGCGGAGCCACACAGUCCGUCAGCCGUCUGGGUUGCAGGCCGAACCCCCGACCGGAUGAUGAUGAAAAUGCCUGCAAGCGCGACAACUUUCAUUCAGCGGCAGGAUGCUCAUUUACGAAAUGGCACAACCCCUUUCAACAAGUUCCAGACAUUCAUCAGAUUUGCACAAUGGCACCAAAAGAAAUGACAGCGAGACAAAGAGGCGCGUCAUUAAAACCAGCAACAGUAUUACUUUUAACACAAUAAAAGACGUUUGUCCUGGUUGUCCAUGUUGUGGUUUUACAUUGGAUUAUUCUGUUCAUUUACACUCAUGUGCUGAAAUCGGGAUCCUCCCUCAUUUGCGUCUCUUGUUCUCAUUUUUGUCGUCCAGCUAGAGCGUCGAUUGUAAAGCCCCUCGAGGCAAAUCUGGGAUAUUUGGUCAAAUUGAUUAAAAACCCCUUUAACCCCCUUUUGGCCUCUGCUCAGGAAAUGGCAUCAGCCGUGAUAAAGAGUGUAAUAACUCUGGAACUACUUUGUCAACAAAAUCUCCAUGAAUCUCCAUUCUGCAGAAUCUCGGAGGUGUUAUAAAAUAACCCACAUAACUAAUUUAUGCCGCCGUUAUUGGUCAGCGAACUCCUUUCUUCUUAAGCGUAAGCGCUUCUCUCUGAAAUGAAAACCACCACCAACAUACAGAAAAUGUACAUAAUGUCCCGCUGAGAUUAAGUCCACGUGAAAGAUAGCGGCUCCUUCUGAGACGCACCCCAUGCUGCCGCACGGACGCACACUUUGCCCCGUCUCAGUGGGCCGCUCGCUCUCCUUCAGCAAGAACCAAACAAACCCAACAAAAACACUUUCCUUCACACGUACACUUUAAUAGCUGCAUAAAAGAUGGAUGUAAAGACAUCGAUCGAGGGGAGUUACUGCAAAUGUCACGGCAACUAAUUUCUCCGCACCACGACUACGAAGCUGCUCGUGUGAGCCGAAUGGUUGUUGGAUUUGUUAUUGGGUUUUUGACGUAUAAUAUGUGUAUAUAAUAUGUAAUAUGUAUACACACAUUUAUGUAAAAUACAUUUUUAGUUUACAGUCACAAAACAGAAAUCCUUCCCAUUCCUCUUUGACGUGUUCAUGUAAACUUCAUGGUGGGAUGAAUAACUUGUGGUGCGUACAUUUAACAUAAACGGGCAUUUAACAAUAUAUUUUUACAAUUAUCGAGCCGCACAGUCAAAUAAAUCUGUGCCUAUAAAUCUUGCUGAGCGGUUCUGCAACGCGGUCCUUGAGAGAUGACUCAUCUUCGGAUAUCAUUUAGAAAAGGAAAUUUGGAGAUCUGUCGCUCAUUGACGCCUGUCAAAAACGUGUAGAUACAAACACACAAAAAGGAAUCAAACUCUAACGACCUGCGGAACAAAACCAUUGGUUGAACUGAUGCCGUCCUUAAAACAUCAUCUGUCUAAAUCGUUUCUGAAAAAAAAAAUCUUAUCCACCAACCGUGUUUGGGUGUGGAGAUGAAGAUGGUGGAAGUAAGCGUUUGGAUUCGUGCUACCCAGAAAAGCUUUGAUGCAGGGCAACGGUCACCUCCUAAAAGAGCCAUUUUCCAACCCAUUCCGGAGCUGGAGAGCUGCGAGCUGCAAACGUUUCCCCCCCCCAGUUAUUUUUCUGUUGCAGGUGUGAGCAGUGCAGCCAAAAGGGAGGAGAGAGUGGCUAAAAGAAGUGCCUCUUAGCAACCGUGGACAGGCGAGCCAUUUCUCUGUGAAACGAUUCUAAAAGCGUUUGGUUUUUCUCUCUGAUGCGGAGGCUGUAAUCACAUUAAGACUUGUAAUUAUCCACUAGGAUGUCCUUAAUGUUUACCAGCAACGCGUCCUGGCCUUUGGGACGUGAACCAGCUCUCGCGUGUGGACAGAUGCGAACGCUUGAAGGAACUCCCGCGUGCACGGCAAUGUUUAAAAGGUGGCCAACGGACUGCGAAAACAUUUGACCGAUCUGAAACAAAAACCGUUUCAGGACAGCGCCGCCCACCUCCGUCCACUGAUGCCACGUUGUCCCACUUUCCCGGGUUUGGCCUUAAUCUCUGCCCUCAGCUGAGGCGGAUUAAUCCCGACAGUGCUGACAUUAUCUCCUGUUCCACGCGGUGACACCGGACACAGGAGGAACUCCCCACAUCCUCUCCAUCGCCACCUCCGGAGCCACCCACCUCAUAUCUGCAGCCAAAGGGUCACUUUGACACGGACACGCCGUGUUCAAAAGUUACCUGCGGAUUGGUCGAUUUUUCUCAGGUUUCUGGUAUAAAAGAUGUUUAUAUGUUUUAAUUCCAAAGAUCCAAUCAACUGUUCAUUAUAUGGCUUGUGAUCACUUUACUUAAGCAAAAAGUGUCAGGUGAUGCGGGGAAGGCAGGACUCAAACGCAGACUUUUUAGAAAACAAAAGACUUUAAUAGUCAAAAGGCAGAAACAAAAGGCCAAGGGGAAAAAACGCGCACAGGAGCCGCGGCAAAAAGGCAGGCAGAAACCAGGGACAUCCAGGACAUGACAUUCGACAAUGACGCGACGAGUGACAAGAGACACACACGGCUUAAAUACACUGGGGAGGUGCAGGUGAUUGGACACAGGUGGAAACAAUCAGACAAUCACAGGGGACGACAGGACAAGGCAGGAAGUGAAGUUACCCGGGGAGACAAGAAGCAGAAAACUACAAAAUAAGACAGGAAAUAAAACCCCACCGUGACAAAAAAAGAGCAAUAACAAAGUGAGGAAAAUCAACACAAAACAACGUCGCUUGUUGUUGCUUUAACUAAAAAAAGAAAAGUGUUUUAAAAGCAGGAUGACUCCUGAUGCCAAUACGUCCCUUUCCUAGUCAUACUUAUAUUAACAGAUAGUUAUUAUUGAUAUGUAAUGACUCGUGUACAUCACUUGCACCAAAGCGUGGCCAAGAAUAAUCACUUCAUACAAGUCCAGUACCUCGUAUUAGCAUCGGUUCAGCACUCGACUGAAUGAAGUUGUUCCACACUGCCUUUGUUUUCCUUACGUCCUUCUCAUGUCAAGGUGACUGAUUUCGGGUGUUUCCCACCUUUAGCUCCUUGGACCGGCACCAGUGGACAUCAGGGUCCUUCACCCUGACAAACACGUUCCGUUAAUUACCGUUAUAAUUCACAAGCCACGCGCUGCUUGAUGUACCGCGACAGAUGAUCAUAAUAAUGAUGGAGCACAGCGGACGGCGACCUACUGGAGACUCCUUCCUCUUCGUACCGGCAUGAGUUUGAAAGUUGCAACGUGUCACUGCAGAGGGAAGCCAAGCGCAUUGUUUCUGCACCGAGGAACAACGCGUGCGUGUCGGCGUAAACGUACCAACUGCCGUGAGAACAAAACCAUAUUGUUGUGACCGGGACACUUCUUAAUGACGACCUCCAUUUGCAUCGCUGCUGCAAGUCAUUUCAGGCUUACUGGAUCACAUCAACUAAAAAGCCCAUUUUUCAUUACAGAGAGCGGCGGUCGGCGGCGUCUGGAGCCGCUUUCACACCUUCCCACGCGCCGGCAUUUGUAUCGUUUUUGGAUGAGGUACAAGGAAAGUGUUUUCUUUUCUUGAUAAUGAACUCAGCGCCUGAAAACGUGUUUUUUUUCUUUUAGAUGUUCCGAACAUUUGUAUGUCCAUUUGAAUGCGAGUUUCCCGCUGUUCAUCGCAAAGGGCACAGUGACAUAUUUUGAUGUACGAAUGAAAGGCAGCAUUUUGGCAAUUAUAUUGGUUUAUGAAUAAAGUAUUUUCCAGAACUUAUUUAAUAUAAAUAUAUAUCCUUCUUGUCUGCUUUAAAAGUGUCUGAUGUGAGGCCGCUUAACUUGUAUUGCAAAGCAACCUGUGGCUUCCAUUCCAAUCAAGGGGGCGCGGCCCACGAGCUCCCGUGCGAUAUCUAUCCAGCCGGCCACAUGGCGCCGGCUUUCAGCCAUCCUUCACCGGCGGCAGGCUCUUGUAAUGAAGACCCUCUUCCCCCCCGAGGAGGUUCCACCUUUUUGUAUCCCGUCUAAGACCGAAUCUCUCACACACACACACAGAAAAACGGUGAAGGACGCAGGCCACUUCUCCUGCCGGCCUCGCGACCACCGCUGUCACUGGCCUGCGAGAUAACUGGCUUCCCCCCGCCUGUCCUUUUAUGUGCAUGUCAAAGUAUCCGCACAGGGGCCCUGACGCAUCAGCAUGAGCCCGCCUCUGCAGCGGACUGAUGGUCAGGAGAGGCGGGGCUUGCGCGGCUCACCUGCCGCCGUAUCACGCGAGAACGACUAUUACACAGCGUGCAUUUAUUCCGGUCUCUCCUUCAACUUGCAGGCCCUUCGUCGUCGGUCCCAGAUGGCGCGGCGGGGCGAGCGGGGAAGCUCAUCCUUCGCAGCGCUUCUCUCGUGUUAAGCCCGGGUUGUUGAUGUUGACUCAGAGACACGGUGAGUAUCACUUCGUCUAAAUUCCCCCCGGAAAGCCCAGUGAGUCAACGGAGAUAAGGCCAGGAAUUGACGGCUAAACCUCUGCGAAAUUCAGCUGCCCAAAACAUUACCCCGACCACGCGCAUGCGUCGGCGUGCGUGCCAACGGAGGCUGCGAGGCCUCGUGCUGGCGGAGGCCGCGCCUGUGGCCGUGAUGUUAUCCCCCCCCCCCCCCC
ensembl:lncRNA